GAUGAACGCUGGCGGCAGGCCUAAAACAUGCAAGUCGAACGCCCUAGCAAUAGGGAGUGGCGCACGGGUGAGUAACAUGUGGGAAUAUGCCUUUUGGUACGGAACAACGUUUGGAAACGAACGCUAAUACCGUAUGGUCCCUCCGGGGUAAAGAUUUAUCGCCAAAAGAUUAGCCCGCACUAGAUUAGCUAGUUGGUAAGGUAAUGGCUUACCAAGGCGACGAUCUAUAGCUGUUCUGAGAGGAAGAUCAGCCACACUGGGACUGAGACACGGCCCAGACUCCUACGGGAGGCAGCAGUUAGGAAUAUUGGACAAUGGGCGCAAGCCUGAUCCAGCCAUGCCGCGUGAGUGAUGAAGGCCUUCGGGUUGUAAAGCUCUUUAGCCGACGAAUAUAAUGGCUGUAGUCGGAGAAUAAGCCCCGGCUAACUUCGUGCCAGCCGCCGCCGUAAGAC
rnacentral:rRNA from 1 species